CCUCUUACCCUCGUUUCUCACCUUUCACCCUGUCCCUCGGCCCGCUUUUCCCCUCCCCGCUCUGUCCUGUCGUUUUCUUAACACUCUUCACACGCGCACUUCCUCCUCCUCCUCUUCUCUUUUUCCCACCCCUACCUUUGGGCCCUCCUUCCUUAACCUCCGCUGGCCCCCCAUUCCAUGAUCCGUCCACCUGACACGCUGGGUUUCAUGCCUCUCUUUCCCAGGCUGUGGGUUGUGCCCUUCACUCCUUGCCCUCCUCCAUUCCCUGUCCUGAUCUGAACUCCUCUCCUUGCCACGCUCCCUCACCCUUAUCCCUCUGCACACUCCAAAAUUUUUAAAGAAAAAGGAGAGAGAGAAAAAAAAGUAAAAGAAAAGAAACCCAAAAGGGAAAAUAUAGCUAAGGUGAACUGCAAAACCAUAUUCCUGCUGCUGUCAGUUAUGAUGCACUGAGAAAACUUCAGAGACCUAAACUUUUUCCAGAGAAGAGAAGCUUUACUGGUGUUCCAGCCCUAAGAAACUUAAAUCCUCAGUGUGACACAACUCAGUCCUUCUACUGCAGCAGCUCUUUUAUAAAAGCCUCCCAAAGCUCCAAGAAGGAACAAAGAAUGUGACCCAGUAAGCUCACACCAUAAAUCUAUAUUGCAGAAACCUUUGUUCAAGAAAACGGCAGAUGCUCUGUUGAAUCCACUGGAGAUUGUUCUGAUACUAAGGACAAGUAUCAACCAUCUUUCCUGUGAAAAAUUCCCUCUCGUACUUUAGUUCUGUGGAUCCAAAAUUUAUAGCAUUCUUCUACCACCACAGGGGCUCAUAUGACAUUAACAGACAAGACACUUUUCAGAAAGACAGGCAACGUGUUGGACCUUCCGGAGCUUCUCAGAAGACAGAGGGUUUUCUUUUGAGGAUUUAAACCUCAGACACAGGGAGCUGACCUAUUCACCUUAGAAUCCUCUGGGGCACCCAUUACAGUGUCUGUACCAAGGAGGCAACAAAGAACGGCGGAACAGACUGGAGCAGAAGGACCACCCAGCAGAGCCAAGCCAAAUCACUGACCCUCAGAGGCCUGAUGUGAAUGCUUAUGGCUUCAGUCCAUUGGAUUCUGCAGUAAUCUGCCGAUCUACAGUAUUACCACAGUAAAUAACCGAUAGACCUGAAAACGAAUGCAUGCCUUGUGCCAAAAUUGCAGGAAACCUCACCAGGAGAAACAAUUUUAUAUGAGGGAAUGUACUCUCUCCUUUGCAUUUUCCCUCAAAUCUAUAUUUUUAGCCCCUCACUUGUCUCUACAGAGCCUCAGUUGCUUAAUCUAAUUGCUGACUGAACAUCUCCAGGAAACUGUGUGUACGUGUUUGUAUUCAUAGUAUAUUUAUUUAUUAUCUGUUUACUUCCAUGGGAUAUAGUCUCCAUAAGAGAGUAGUCAUCAUUGUAUUUGUUGAUGCUUAAUAAAUAAUCAUUGAAUGG
ensembl:lncRNA NUTM2B-AS1 NUTM2B antisense RNA 1